CUUAAACAUAUGGCUUGUUAGUGCUGGACUACCGAAGUAAAGUAAGCACUGAGAAGCAAAAUCCAUGAUUUACUCUGUAAACAUAUUUAUCUAACUUAUAUUUAUGCUACAUUUAGCUUUAGCUAAAUUAGCAUCCAUCCAUCCAUUAAAUAGGGCCUACUUUUUUUUGCUUUUCAGGCUUUUCCAUUUAAACCUGCCCAUAAACUUGCCAGUGGGGCUGUUAAAAAACAUUGUGACUAUCAAGUGUUUACCCAUCUUACAAUGACACGCAGCUGACAGGCUAAAUGCACUCCAAAUGCCCUGUAGAAACAAGUAGCUCAAGUCCUUUUUGGCUAGAGUCUUGUAAAUGAUUGCCAGUGACCUGAAUCCUGAGGGGUCAGAAGCACACCAUGCUUUGACUGUUUGCAUUGCAAAUAUCUGAUAGGCCUUAUCCAACUCCUGUUGAUUUUUCCUCCUGUACGUCUCCAUAAUUAUCCUUUUACCGCCUGUGAGUAGCAACAGAUGGAUGGACCGGAGCGAAGGCGUGGGGGAAGGAUUUGAAGGAUGCGCGUGCACAUGGUUUAUAUGGAGAGCACUGUGAAUGACCCUCUGUUGAACAGCUUCAUGUUUUGCUGGCUGUGAUAAGAUAGUGGAAACAUUUUUGGUUUAUUCAUUGCAUACUUUGACCUUUAACUGAUUAGAGGAUGACUUUCAUUUCCUUGUUCGCCAUUUAACAACCAUUUCUCACCUUUCUGUGUUGAAUGUGACAUUAAACGAAUAGUUCACCAAAAAAACGAACGUUCUGUCAUCUUUUUCCUCAACCUUAUGUUCUUCCAGUCCAAUCUUUUUGAAGAAUGAAAGUCAGAUGGGUUCGGAACAUCAUGAUGGUUUCCUAACCUCCCCAAUCUGCAGUUGGUCAGUCGAACCGAUAGUCCCGCCAUUGGUUGAGAAAAUGCGGCUGUGUCGCUCUGGUCUGCAACAAGUAAGC